UGCCUGGAUGCCCUGCUUACCCAGCCUGGCACUAAGGCAAAACCUAAGUAGCCCUUCCUGUUCUCAUCUGUCUUGAACUCCUUGAGGUUAGUGCAGAUGGAGGCAAGAUCAGGAGUUCGUGAUCACAGAGACACCAGCAGCAUCAACCCACAAUCUUGGGCCUCUGGAAUGUCAGUGACAAACUAGGUUCCAAGUAUAUAUAGGCAACACAAAGAGAGAACCAUUCUCUGCUUUCAAUAGGACAGAAGAGCUCCUUGGCACUGGAUGCCUCCGGGUCUGGUUGAGAGAGGAAUGGUUAGGAGACUGUUCUGAGGAUACGCAGACAUCAUCCAAAGCUUCCUACAUUCAGAUGAGGACAGAGGUUGGGCCAGAGCUUUGUAAGCUUGUUACCUAAGGAUGGUUCUGACCAUGUAAGCAGAUCACAGAAGCACUGUUCACAAUAGCAAAGACUUGGAACCAAUCCAAAUGCCCAUCAAUGAACACCUGGAUAAAGAAAAUGUGGCACAUACACAGCAUGGAAUACUAUGCAGCCAUAAAUAAGGAUGAAUUCAUGUCCUUUGCAGGGACAUGGAUGAAGCUGGAAAACAUCAUUCUCAGCAAACUAAGCUGGAGGCAAAGGAUGCCAAGAUGGGAAAGCCACAUAAUGGAAGGAUCCUGGAUUUCAGAGCUGUCACUUGGAGGAGGGGCACCC
rnacentral:lncRNA from 10 species